CGUGUAGGCGGUUGAGCAAGUCAGAUGUGAAAGCCUUCCGCUCAACGGGAGAAGUGCAUUUGAAACUACUUGGCUGGAGUUCGGUAGAGGAGAGUGGAAUUCCCGGUGUAGAGGUGAAAUUCGUAGAUAUCGGGAGGAACACCGGUGGCGAAGGCGGCUCUCUGGCCCGAUACUGACGCUGAGACGCGAAAGCGUGGGGAGCAAACAGGAUUAGAUACCCUGGUAGUCCACGCCGUAAACGAUGGGCACUAGGUGUAGGAGGUAUUGACCCCUUCUGUGCCGAAGCUAACGCAUUAAGUGCCCCGCCUGGGGAGUACGGCCGCAAGGCUAAA
rnacentral:rRNA from 1 species